rnacentral:rRNA from 1 species
AACGUAGGUUCCGAGCGUUAUCCGGAUUUACUGGGCGUAAAGCGCGUUCAGGCGGUUUGGCAAGUCGGGCAUGAAAUCUCUCGGCUCAACCGGGAGAGGUUGUCCGAUACUUCCAGACUUGAGGGCAGUAGAGGGUGGUGGAAUUCCGGGUGUAGUGGUGAAAUGCGCAGAUAUCAGGAGGAACACCAAUGGCGAAGGCAGCUCGCUGGAACGGUACUGACGCUGAGGCGCGAAAGCGUGGGGAGCGAACAGG